rnacentral:lncRNA from 8 species
AUGACUGAACGCUGUAGCCUAUGGAGUGCCCUCUCGGCAGCCGCCUGCUGUUUCUACAGAGGCUCCUUCAUGCAGGUGCAGUUCUCCAAGGAGAAAUACCUGCUGGAGUCUCCACCAGAGAAACUACGCAAGGAGCUGGAGGAGGAGCUGAAACUCUGCAGCAGCGAUAUCAGGAGCCAUGGCUGGUACCAUGGGCACAUCCCUCGAGAGCUAUCGGAGACUGUAGUCCUGCAGAACGGUGAUUUCCUGAUCCGGGAUUCGCUGAUUAACAUGGGCGACUACGUCCUAACGACCCGCUGGAACCACGAGGUUCUGCAUUUUAAGAUCACCAAGGUCCUGGUCAAGUCCAGCACUGAGUCGAAGGUCCAGUACCUGUUAGAGACGGACAGCUUCGACUCCAUACCUGAACUGGUGAGGUUCUACGUGGCCGGGCGGCGGCCUGUCUCCCAGCCCAGUGGAGCCCAGAUCUACUGUCCAAUCAUACGCACCCUACCCCUGCGCUACCUGGAGGCCACAUUUGCCUUAGCCAAUAGCAGGCACAGCCUGGCCCACUCACCGUCCAGUCAGAGAGGAGCGUACAUCAAGAGGCGGAGCGUAACCAUGAACGACGGAUUGACCACAGAGAAGCUGAUACCUCACAGUGAUGUGGAGUCCAUCAGUCCAGUGGAACCACCAGUUCUCCCAGUACCAGUCCCAGUAGCUACACCCGUACCAGUGGUACCAAAGCCAGAAGUGAAAGCUGCUGUCGUGGGGUGCAGGUGCCCUUCUACUAUUCACAACCACAAGGAUGCGAUGAGGAACUGUGCCAUGAGUAUGGAUCAGAUCCAGGAGUAUCGCUGUCCCCUGUCUCCGGUAGGAGAAACACCUCUCUCCCCAGCAUACAGCCACAUCCACAGACACAGAACCCAGUCAGGGGGUAGAGUUCUGGCAGUGGUGCCCCCCUCACCAGUCCUGAGACGCUCCAGCGAGCCCCAGCUCAGCCCUGGCUCCAACAACAACCUACCCGACAUGCUAGCUGCCAGCUCCCACUCCACCCCGGCCCACUGCUCCUGCCCAGCCCCAGCAGGGGGCUCUGAAACAGAGGGAAGCUACUGCGACCUCAGGCCCUCCCCGGCCCCAUGUCCCGGGGCUCCAUGUGCCGCUGGCAUGCCCCCCACACCUCCAGCUAAGAGCUAUGUGGAGCGGCUGCGUGUGGAGGAGGGCCGAGGGCCUGCCCCGGGGAGGGAGAACGGAGCAGGGGCUGGGGGAGAGGCGUUCAGCGCCCCCCUGGUGGAGACUGCCUCCUCCUUCAGACCAGGGAAGUACCUGUCACCCCUGAUCCCCCAGGAGAACAAGCCCUUAGAGAUGAGCGUACUGAAGAGAGUCAAGGAGUUGUUGGCUGAGGUGGACGCUAGGACGGCUGCUAAACACAUCACAAUGGCUGACUGCAAGGUUGCUAGGAUACUGGGCGUUACCAAGGAGAUGCAGAGGAUGAUGGGAGUAGGUUCAGGACUGGAGCUUUUGACUCUACCUCACGGACAUCAGCUGAGACUGGACCUACUGGAGAGGUUCUACACCAUGUCUAUAAUGAUGGCUGUGGACCUGCUGGGGUGUACAGGCAGUACAGAGGAGAGGGCUGCUCUGCUCCAUAAGACCAUCCAGCUGGCUGCUGAACUCAAGAGCAACCUGGGGAACAUGUUCGGCUUUGCUGCUGUGAUGAGAGCACUGGAGCUGCCACAGAUUUCUCGCUUGGAGCAGACGUGGAUGACGUUGCGUCAGAGACACACAGAGGGAGCCAUACUCUAUGAGAAGAAGCUCAAGCCCUUCAUGAAGAACAUGAACGAUGGCAAAGAGAGCAGUGUGCUGUCCAACACGUCCUUCCCUCACGUGGUUCCUCUGCUGUCUCUGUUGGAGAAGGGUGUGGCCUUGGGGGAGGGGCCAGGGGCGGGGAUAGAAUCCUGGGAGAACGUGGAGGCGGGCGUUGAUGUUGUGAUGUCACACCUGGAGGCGGCCCGGACCAUCGCUCACCACGGGGUGCUGUACCGCACCAACGCUGAGACCAAACUACAAGGCUUCCAGGAGAGUCAGGAAGUUCUGGAGAUCUUCCGGACAGAGUUCCAGAUGAGGUUGCUAUGGGGAAGCAGGGGUUCGGAGGGCAGCCAAUCGGAACGCUAUGAGAAGUUCAACAAAGUCCUGACCGCUCUGUCUCACAAGCUGGAGCCUCCUGUACGCCACAGCGAACUAUAGCACCCAUCUCACUGAACACCCCUA